rnacentral:misc_RNA from 2 species
UGUGGGAGCGAGCCUGCUCGCGAUAGCGGCGUGUCAGUCAAAACAAUAUUGACUGGUUAUCGCGAGCAGGCUCGCUCCCACA